UUCAUUUGCUCUCUCAGUGACUUCUCUAAAUAACAUCCCUCUUUCCUUCUUCUCUUCCUCUCUACAGCAUUAAAACAAAAGUCUUCAUCAUCUCAACGUUUACUCUUGCAAAAUCUCAAGAAAGCCAGUGUUCCUUAGAGGACAUAAGCCAAACGUGAAGCAAUAGAGGCUGGACAGAAAAAUGCUGUACACAGGAAUCAUCCUCUCUUUCUGCCUCCUCCAGCACAGCAGACACUGGGAGGAGGCUCUCCUCAUCAGACCUCUGCUCCUUCCCUGUUCCUAAGGCAAGACCACUGAAAGGCACCAGAGCUAUCUAACACAGAGGUAUAACUCUAAGACAAACAAAUCAACACUAACAUUGUUAUGAAACAGUAUGAAACAUACUCCAGCAGUUUAUGCAUUACAGCUGGCUGAACAGGAAAAAGGCAUCUGAAGAUAUGUCAGCAAACCCUUCCCUUUUGCUGUGACUCAGUCCCAUGGCCUUUCCCUCUUCCCAGUCAUCUUCCAUCAUCUCCUGGUUUGCCAGCUUCUCAUUUCAACUGUUUAACCCAGGGCAGCAGGCACAUGGGCGUUUGUUACAGAUUUGGUUUGAAAGUACUUAGCACCCAUUCAAAAUCCACUUCAUGUGCUUCCACGAAGUAACUACUCACAGUUCAUCUCCUCAUGAAAAGCAGACAGCAAAGGAAACAUACAGGAAUCUGUAAUCCGUAACUUUCUGGGGAAAAUAAAGUUAUAUAUAUGCCUGAGCAUGAAACAGAUAAGAGAAAAAAAAUAGGAGUAAUGAAGAGAAAACUUAUAGUCCUGUAAGUUCAGAGUUUCUGAGAGCUUCACAGUGAAUGACAUCUUGAUUUUUAAAGAAUGGCAUUGAUUUCCACUGGAAGAAACAUUCAGUGAUACUGAAGUAAGAGCACAAGUCCAAAAAGCUGGUGAACCUGCAUAGCUGGACAGAAGACGACAGCUAAUAAGCAUGUUAAAACAGUAACUAAUGAAUUCACAGGAAGUAUUUAGCUGACAAAAUGAGCCAGGCUACACGAUUUUAAACACCUGUGAUAAACCACUGCAUUAGGCAGAAAAGUAUGCAGUUUGGGGUACCUUCAAUUCAGAAGGACCCCUGGAAAACUUAGGAACAUCUACAUGGCUUCCGUACUGAUAUAAUCAAUCUGGCUGGGCUCAGUAAUGAUACGAAACUCAAGAAAGGAGUAGCAGCAGUAAUUACGGGUCUGAACAAUGUGUCUUACUGUAAAAGUCUUACUGCACUGAUGAUGCCACACCUGGAGUGCUGGAUCCAGAUGUGGAGUCCUCAGUACUACAGAUGUAGACCUGCUAGAGAGCAUCCAGGGAAGGGCACAAAAAUGAUCCAACACCUCUCCUAUGAGGACAGGCUGAGAGCUGGGGCUAUUCAUCCUGGAGAAGAGAAGGAUCUGAGGUGGCCGGAUAGAGGCUUUCAGUAUCCGAAGGGGAGCUACAGGAAAGAAGGAGACAGACUCUUUAUCAGGGUCUGUGGUGAUAGAACAAGGGGAAAUGCCUUCAAGCUCAGGGAGGGUAGAUUUAGGUUGUAUAUAAGGAAAAAAAAUCUGAUUUUUGCUGAGGCACUGAGACAGGUUACCUAGUGAUGUGGAUGAUGCCCCAUCCCUUGAGACUUAAAAGGCGAGGCUGGUUCAGGCCCAGGGCAACCUGAUCUAGCUGUGGUGUCCCUGGUCAUUGCAGGGGAGCUGGACUAGAGGGCCCUCAGAUGUCCCUUCCAGCUCUAAAAAUUCUAUAAUUCUAAAAUCAAUAAUCAGUGUAUUUUCUCCAAAAUAGAGUUAAGAGCCAACUCAAUUUACAGACUUGGAGUGCUAAAGAAUACUCCAAUUAGAGCUCCUGGUUAUCACAAAGCUUUGUAAUUCACCCCUGUGUUGUUAUUCAUUAACACGUGUGGCUAAAAAUGAGACACUAGGAAUAUGGUUCCUGGUAAUGAACAAUCUUUAUUAUCAAAAUAUGCACCUUUUUUUCAACUGGGAUUUGUUGGGCUUUAGUUUACUGCCAUCAGUAUUUAUUUUGCCUUCCUAUGGUACAUCACAUUCCUUGAGUGUUUAGGGUUUGCUAAUCAUGCAUGUGUUUAAAUGUUGUAAUAGUCACCUCUGGAUAUUCUACUUAGGGGAAAAGAACAAUCAAGUCUUAAACUUUCUCUCUAUUUUCUAUAAGUGAAGUUUAAAUAUCACCAAAACAAUUUUGUGGCUCUUCUCUGCUUCUUUGUCAAUUAUGAAGACAUUUAAAAACAGAUUCUAGAAGCAAAUGAAUUAUCCCCAUCCCAUUUUCACUGCUACUCUACAAGGAGGUUAAGUCUCUUCUCGCCCACAGAGUUUCACACCUUCCUAAUGAUAGCUUUAGUUCUUUCAGCUCACAGCAGCAGAUGGGGAAAUCAUGACGAAUGCUUGUUUCUUAAGAUUUUUAAACCUUAUAAGUGUGCCAGGAUAGAGUUUUUCAGAACCUGGCUUAUUCUUCCACCUGUGAAACUGAAUUUGGCUGUAUGUCAAUUUAAAGAGUCAUCUGAAUCUGACAUCUAAUCUAGUCUUCCCAUUGACUGAUUUUCUCUGUCAUCAUUUUGAGUCUGUGGAAUUUCUUCCAUGAUCACUAGUCUUCAGUGAACUUCUGGCACUGAUACUAAUUUACGUCUUGAAGAUGGAACUACAUAUUUGUUCUGGGUCUUGCUGGGAUGGAGUUAACUUUCUUUACAGCAGCUUGUACGGAGCCAUGUGUUGGAUUUGUGGUUAACAUUGUUGAUCACAGACUAAUAUUUUGGCUAUUGCUGAACAGUGUCUGCACAUUGUUAAGGCUUUCUCUAUAGCUCACACUGCACCAACCCGGCAAGUAGAAUGUGGGUAGGCAAGAGGCUGGGAGGGGACAGCGCCAAGACAGCUGACCAGAAUGGACCAAAGGGAUAUUCCAUACUGUAUAACUUCAUGAUCAGCAAUAAAAUCUGGAGUAAAUGAAAAAGUGUUGGAGGUCUGUUGUCUUCUGAUGUGGUUGGUGCUUGGAGACUGGCUGGCCAUUGGCUUGACUGUGGGAGGUGGUGAGUUACUGCCUGUGCAUCACUGGGAUUUUUUCCUCUUUCUUUCACCUAUUAAACUGUCUUUAAUCUCAACUCAACAAUUUUCUUACUUUUAUACUUCCUAUUCCCUUCUCUAGCCCUCUGAGAUAUGGGGAUUAAGUAAGAGUUUGUGCGGUUGCUUGUGGGGGAUGUGUGGUCAAUCCACAACGAUAUUAGACAUAAUACCUUCUGUGAUUAAAAAAUAUUGGCCUGUGCAUAUAUUUUUAAAUGCUUUUUAUAAGCAACUGCUGGCUGUGUGAAACUCUAAACACAUGUCCCAAAUUGAG
ensembl:lncRNA